GUAUAUUAGUCCAAAUGCGAGACAUGAAUAAAAUGACUCAUUCAUAUACAGUGCAAUAUGCUAUCACGAUGUUCGGAGAACUGUUACCACGUGUGUUCUUCAGUCUGAAAGAAUCAACGGGAUCGUUUCGCCCAUGGGUGCAAAAAACUAUAAAUACAUUAAUGGAUAAAUUUUCAAAUGUUAUUGUGACAAGCUCAAAAUCAGGAAAACUUAUUACACAGCUGUAUAUGUCAUUUUUGUAGAAAGUUCUAAAACCAUAUGUAAAAAACAAGAAAUUUUUACUUUUAAUAGAUUCCUGGGAGGCCAAAUGAACCCGAU
rnacentral:lncRNA from 1 species